CCUACGGGGGGCAGCAGUGAGGAAUAUUGGUCAAUGGACGAGAGUCUGAACCAGCCAAGUAGCGUGAAGGAUGACUGCCCUAUGGGUUGUAAACUUCUUUUAUAUGGGAAUAAAACGUUCCACGUGUGGGAUUUUGUAUGUACCAUAUGAAUAAGGAUCGGCUAACUCCGUGCCAGCAGCCGCGGUAAUACGGAGGAUACGAGCGUUAUCCGGAUUUAUUGGGUUUAAAGGGAGCGUAGGUGGAUUGUUAAGUCAGUUGUGAAAGUUUGCGGCUCAACCGGAAAAUUGCAGUUGAAACUGGCAGUCUUGAGUACAGUAGAGGUGGGCGGAAUUCGUGGUGUAGCGGUGAAAUGCUUAGAUAUCACGAAGAACUCCGAUUGCGAAGGCAGUUCACUGGACUGCAACUGACACUGAGGCUCGAAAGUGUGGGUAUCAAACAGGAUUAGAUACCCCAGUAGUC
rnacentral:rRNA from 1 species